ACAAAAGACGGAACCUCUACGGCCUCACCGCGCUGUCGCCUCCCUGUCUCCGCCGGGGAAAGCGCGUGUGCGUGUCCCUGCCCCGGGAACAGCGCAGGGUGUCUGUGUGAGGAGCACAGCGGGCGCGGGGAGCGCUCCCAGCCCCGGGCAGGCGGCGCUGGCCCCGCAGGAGCCGGAAGGCUGACGGUAGCAGUGACACCGCUUUGCUACCACACGGAGUGGACAGGCUUUCUGCUCGAGGCGGAGUGUGCGGGCCGGUUAGCUCAGUUGGUUAGAGCGUGGUGCUAAUAACGCCAAGGUCGCGGGUUCGAUCCCCGUACGGGCCAGUGUUUUUUGCCCGUCCCGCUGCCGAUUCCAGCCGUCCCUCGGCUCCAGCCGGGCCCCCGCGGGAACACCCACUGAUGGGAGAGAGCAGGGACGGGUGGGAGGGGACGCGAAACAACCGAACAGCCGAUAGGAGAAAUAAUGGGGGGAGGAAAUGCGUGGAGGGAGGUUUUAAAUCUUUUCCGGAGCUCCUCACGAAAGUAUUCCAUGUUUUGCCCCGCAGCGCUUUGUUAAAGUUCUUGUGUUAAAUAACGUUAGGCCAGAAGAAAGCAUGCAGGAAUUCAGGAGGUUUCCCCUUCCAGUGAAUAAUCCCAGGUCUUUAGCUCAUUGUGUUAGUAACUCUUCCAUACCUCUGUGUCAGGGGCUGGACGGCGCUGAAGAGAGUGGGGGUUUAUUGUUUUUCUUCCUUUGAAGCAGGAAGACAAGCAGAUCUCCCUUGGCAGUCUGAUUUUUCAUAGAAUGUUCUGAACUCCACAUAGAAAGUAGCCAAACUUGAGAGGCACACUGUAACGUGAAUCUUAGUUUUUAUGGGUGCGCUGUUUAUUCAAGACAAAGUUCCAGGCCAAGCAGAGGUUCAGCAAUGGAGCACUACAUCUGCAGGAGUGGCCAAGAUGGACCUCUGCCAGCUCAACCUGCCUCUAGCUGGCUUUGAAUUUCUUGUGCUACCUUAGUGAAGACUUCACAUGAAGCCUGGAUGGGAGAGCUGAAGAAAAUAUGGUUCAAGAAGCAAUUUAUUUGAGGCAUAAAGGAAAGGCUAGUUUGAAGAUGUGAAGAGGUUAGCAGGGAGCAUGAGUAUAGAGACCUGCACUUGAAAAGGGAAGAUGAUUGGCUGGCCUGCUUCAGGAGAAGGAAGAAGCCACCUAUGCAAGCUCCAGUUCUUCCUCCGAAGGAACCGAGCAGUCCAAAGCUUCACUGGCACUGGGACCAGCAUUCUUCUGAAAUUACUGGAAACCUACCUAGUUCUGAUUUACUCCAGCACUGGUAGUAGAUCCAGCAGCCAGUCGAAAGCUAUCUGUGAGCUUCAGGUCACAGCAGGUCUCUAUUGACCAGCAAAAAACAUUUUGAGUGUUUGGUCUCAGUUUCAUUUGCUGGUUUGAAGUCUGUGCUGCUUUGUGUUUUCUCACAAGGUGUGACAGUCACUCACGAAUGACUUUUAUAUCUUCCUGUGCCAGGAGCCAUGCACCACCUUGUUUUGUGAGCUUAAAAGACUUUGCAGCAAGAGUCUUUACAAUUCUUUGUGCUGUGGCUGUGAACAUUGUGAAUUUAGGAACAUUUUGUUCAAAGGCCAGGGCAUGUGCUAACCCUGCAGAGGCUGAGUUUAAAAGCACAGUGUUUGUUACCCCAGGCACUGAAAGGAAUUGUGUGGCACUGUGUUCUCAUGGGAUUUUGUGUUUGUUCAUUUUUAUCAAAAUUUUAAACUUUUUUACGUAUAAAUGGAUAUAGAUUUUACGAAGACCUGCCAACAUUUCUGAUUGUCUAAGCCUUAGAUUUUGAAAAUUAUUUUGCUUUGGUUUGCUUGUUUCUCAGUAGAAAUCAUGUAGCUCAGAGAACAAAAGGAAUAGCACAACUUCUGAACAGAAAAUUCAUGAACAGAAAUUCAGUCCAAGUUGUUUUACUCAAUUGAUGAUGAAAUUAUCUAUGAAUGCAUAUUUUCACUAUAUGACCAGUUUUAUAUAUGGCUCAGUAAUAUUAAUCUAAAAAAUCUGUUCUGUUCCCCCUUGUCAGCUGCUAAAUAAAUUACUAGGGAAUAAUUUUUUGUUAUUCAGACAGAUCUACUCUGCACAGGAGUGUCUGUGUACUACUGUCACCAGAUAAUCAAUUUUGUUUCUUUGCAUCCAGUGUAGGUAUGUGCUUCUGAAGUUUGAAAGAAUUUGAUCCCAUGUCUUUGUGAAAUCUACAUUUUGAUGUUAUGAAGGAGAAAAAUAUGUCUCUUUAGAAAAUUCUGCUUCAAAACAAUGUAGAAAGUUCAGCUAUAUCUUCACAACAGACACUUUCAAUGUAUCUUAAAUACAUUCAAAUCAACAUUUGAUUUCUAAAUGUCUAAUGUAGAAACAUAUUGAGAGUUUAUUGAAAUACUUUCAAAAACAUGUGGCUUGACAAACACAUUACACUGCUGACAGUCUUUUUGAAAACUACAUUUCAAUGCUUUAAUAAAAUGGCUUUGAAGUAUAACAAAUUAUUCUCCUGUCAGUGGUCAGAAAUCUGAAUAAACUGCAAUGGAUUGCAUAGUUCAAGGGAAUGAAUACAUAAGACAAGUUCUUAGCUUGCAACUUUAGGUAUUUGAUAUUCAAUAAUAACUAUUUUAUAACUAGAAGUGCAAAAGCAGGAGUGGACCUGCACAUAAAUGUAUACGUAACUAGAUAGUCUGGAUCACCUCAAAAAGAAAAGUCUGUAUAGGCUGAUACUUUGUAUCUUCUAUGAAAUAUUAUAUGAAUGCUUUGUUCUCUGUCUUUCUGAAAUCAGUUAUAGUCCAUAGCAAAUAGCUAUGGGCAGUGUUCGAAAAAUCCAAUUUAUCAGAGAGUUUGUUAGUAAUACUGACAUAAAAUUACUUGGGAUGUUUUAGAGGGAGGAUUUUUAGGAUGUGUUUAUGCAGCAGGCUGGCUGCAUGUUAUAUGAAGGAUACUGUGCAUUCAAUCACAAGGUGACAAGUUAUCACUCUAGAUUCAAGGGCAAAAGAACAGCAAUAUUUUUGCUUGUUAAUUAUUGUCAUUAGCAGGUUAAACCAAGGGGUUAUGCAUUGGUCAUAAAACUCCUGUAAAGUAAGACUCAAGUAGUUUGCUCAUGUCACCAGAAUUCCAAGAUAAAUGUGGUAAAAAGGAUCAGCCAUCAUGUAUUAUAUAUCUACAGACAGUGCACAUUUUUCUCUCACUGUACUUCGGAGUGAGACUUCUCUGGAUGACAGUUAUGGAAAGUCUGAAGUGUCUGCAAUGUGCAAAAAUAGAAAGUUCUCAAUGCACUUAAUAAAAGUUUAAUUUGUGAGUUA